CAAGGAAUUGUGCUUAUCUUUUGGCUUGAGAGGAUUGUCUAUGCGAGGCAUCGAUAGAUGAUUGAUUAGGCUAGAGCAUCAAGGAGAGACUCGGAGUUUUGUGGAUAGAAUAGGUUGAUUAGAACUGAAUUAGUCAAGCAAGAACCCAAGGCAUUCUCACCAUUGAUUAUCACACACUUAUCUUUGUUAGCUUUCUAAUUAAGUAUCACAACAAUCAAUCAACCUUUAAAACUGAAUUUUACUCCCUUUUUAACCUUGAACUUGACUUUUAAACUGAAUUCACAUUCCAAUUCCCUGUGGUUCGAUAAUUUAAAACCCGGAGAUAUCUGUGCA
rnacentral:lncRNA from 1 species